UGUAAGCGUAUACCAAAGUUGUUGCAGUUAAAACGCUCGUAGUCGGAAUUUGGCAGUUCCGGAUGUGUGCACGUCGUGUGCGCACUUCGCGGGGAUUGCUUUUGUGGUCUUGCGUAGGAUGAGGCACUUUUAUUAGUGAACGUCCUCACGCAACCACUUUUUACUGUGAGAAAAUCAGAGUGCUCAAAGCAGGCAUUUGCCGUGAAUGUAUUAGCAUGGAAUAAUAGAAUAGGACUUGGUUCUAUUUUGUUGGUUUGUUGGGACUGAGUAAUGAUUAAGAGGGACAGUUGGGGGCAUUUGUAUUUCGGUGCUAGAGGUGAAAUUCUUAGAUUACCGAAAGACAAACUGCUGCGAAAGCGUCUGCCAAGGAUGUUUUCAUCGA
rnacentral:rRNA from 1 species